GGGUUGUUAGCUCAGUUGGUAGAGCAGCAGACUCUUAAUCUGUCGGUCGCGCGUUCGAGUCGCGCACAACCCACCA
rnacentral:tRNA from 1 species